rnacentral:rRNA from 1 species
UGGGGGAUAUUGCACAAUGGGCGAAAGCCUGAUGCAGCGACGCCGCGUGGGGGAUGAAGGCCUUCGGGUUGUAAACUUCUUUUGCUCUGAACAAGGCAUGCUAAUGGGUGUGUUGAGUGUAGGGGUUGAUUAGCGCCGGCUAACUACGUGCCAGCAGCCGCGGUAAUACGUAGGGCGCGAGCGUUGUCCGGAAUUAUUGGGCGUAAAGGGCUUGUAGGUGGCUGGUUGCGUCUGUCGUGAAAGAUCAUGGCUUAACUGUGGGGUUGCGGUGGGUACGGGCUGGCUUGAGUGCAGUCGGGGAGGCUGGAAUUCCUGGUGUAGCGGUGGAAUGCGCAGAUAUCAGGAGGAAUACCGGUGGCGAAGGCGGGUCUCUGGGCUGUUACUGACACUGAGGAGCGAAAGCAUGGGGAGCGAACAGG